rnacentral:lncRNA from 1 species
GAAACACACUGAUCACAGAGCAGCCAACAGCCUGCAUCAAAUUCAGCUUUGUCUCUUCUUGUUAUCCACCUGCUUUGGCCAUAAUCUAACUUCUGAACUCCUCACCAAACAAUGCCUUGCACCAAGUUGCUUCAUAGUACAGGUCUGUCCAUGUCUCUGACUUUCUCAGGGUUUGUGCAACUCCUCUUUUGACUCUGUUUCAGUUACCUCAUGAUAAGGAGAAUAGAAAAUCUUGCUCUCACAAUUGCUCACUUUCUUCCCUUCCCUGGACAGUUACUGCUUUGUAGCAGAAAUGUUGAAAAUAAAUGAAUCCAUAAAUGAAUUGUAGUACUCCACAAUCCUAAUAUUUAUUUAAUCUGUAGGUUGUGUGAGAGUUGAAAAAGCUGAAGUCUAUGCAGCAGUUUUCUUCAGAUGGACAUGCUAGAAAGGGAAAAGUGGAGCAGACCUGGUCAUUCAGGAAUUCUUCUAGUGGUUAUUUGUAUUAUAGUUUGGUUUUCCUCAGUUUUAUAAAUUGUCUUGUCCUUGUACAAAUAAACUGUUGACAAGGUAAAAGGAUCCAUGAGUUCUAUGAAGGACAGGGUAGUUGUGACAGCUGGUCAGUAGACUUUUAAAGAUAAUACAAGUCGCAAAAAUGUCAUUUUAAACUUACAUAUCUCCUCUGACCUCAUUUUAGUCUGUGCUUGCUGUCUGAGCUAUUAUAUAGUUUGUUCUUAGAGGUGCUAGAUGUUUGGUCCUUUAUCAUUUGAAUAUUGAAAGCCUGAAAAACAUCACUGUAAGUGAAGCUAUUUUUUGGGCCUCACAGGUAUACACACUAACUCAGUUCUCCUCACAAGUUAAUGUUCUGUGUAACCAAACUGAACUGGUUUCAUUUUCCUAUAUGAAAUAUGGAAAUGCAUAUGCAGUUCGUGUAACUUCUUGGUGAUUGUUUCCCUGGAGAACCAUCAGUUUGUUGAAUGUACACAUUUCUGUUUCCAGGUUAUUAUGCCUGUAAUAAACAAGCAGGAUAUAAAUCUAAUUAAGGGCCU